rnacentral:rRNA from 1 species
UACGUAGGGUGCGAGCGUUGUCCGGAAUUACUGGGCGUAAAGCGCACGUAGGCGGCUUUGUAAGUUAGAGGUGAAAGCCUGGUGCUCAACACCAGAAUUGCCUUUAAGACUGCAUCGCUUGAACGUCGGAGAGGUGAGUGGAAUUCCGAGUGUAGAGGUGAAAUUCGUAGAUAUUCGCAAGAACACCAGUGGCGAAGGCGGCUCACUGGCCCGGUACUGACGCUGAGGUGCGAAAGCGUGGGGAGCAAACAGG